AUUGAACGCUGGCGGCAGGCUUAACACAUGCAAGUCGAGCGGAGAGAGGUAGCUUGCUACCGAUCUUAGCGGCGGACGGGUGAGUAAUGCUUAGGAAUCUGCCUAUUAGUGGGGGACAACAUUUCGAAAGGAAUGCUAAUACCGCAAACGUCCUACGAGUGAAAUCAGGGGAUCUUCGGACCUUGCGCUAAUAUAUGAUCCUAAGUCGGAUUAGCUAGUUGGUGGGGUAAAGGCCUACCAAGGCGACGAUCUGUAGCGGGUCUGAGAGGAUGAUCCGCCACACUGGGACUGAGACACGGCCCAGACUCCUACGGGAGGCAGCAGUGGGGAAUAUUGGACAAUGGGCGCAAGCCUGAUCCAGCCAUGCCGCGUGUGUGAAGAAGGCCUUAUGGUUGUAAAGCACUUUAAGCGAGGAGGAGGCUACUUUAGUUAAUACCUAGAGAUAGUGGACGUUACUCGCAGAAUAAGCACCGGCUAACUCUGUGCCAGCAGCCGCAGUAACAC
rnacentral:rRNA from 1 species